UAGUCAUUAUGAAUAGGGGCUGGACUAUUUUUGUAAUUAAUGUAUACUCCUUAACAGGAAUAGUCCUUUAUAUAUGCAAAGAGGUAACUUUAGUCUACGACCUUAAUCCAACAGUUUCUUCCAGAAAAUCAGUUAAGUUUAAAUGAGAUAUUCCAUGAAUGAUUACUGGAGUUUGAAAAUUUAUAAGUUCAAAUCCCAUGAUUUGUUACAGGACAAAAAGAAACACGCACACACAGACACAAGUAGUAGAAGAAGACAACAAAAUUGAUCUGCCAAAACCAAACCUUAAAUCAGAAACACUAGCUGAAAGCUGAACUCCGGUUUCUGCAUCAACGGGGAGUGAAAUGGAGCGGACAGGUUAAUUUGAAGUUUAGGGUUCAGGUCUUUCAAGGACGGACUAAUAGCAGUCAAACUUCUA
rnacentral:lncRNA from 1 species